rnacentral:rRNA from 1 species
GACGAACGCUGGCGGCGUGCCUAAUACAUGCAAGUCGAACGCAGUGGGGACGGGUGAGUAACACGUGGGUAACCUCCCAUCAGAGGGGAUAACACUUUGAAACAGGUGCUAAACCGAUACUGAUGGAUGAACCCGCGGUGCAGUAGCUAGUGGGUGAGGUAACGGCUCACCAAGGCCCCGAUGGAUAGCCGGCCUGAGAGGGUGGUCGGGCACACUGGGAAGGAGACACGGCCCAGACGCCUACGGGAGGCAGCAGUGGGGAAUCUUCGGCAAUGGGCGAAAGUCUGACCGAGCAACGCCGCGUGAGUGAAGAAGGUUUUCGGAUCGUAAAACUCUGUUGUCAGAGAAGCGGUAUCUAAAGAGAAAGCCACGGCUAACUACGUGCCAGCAGCCGCGGUAAUUC